rnacentral:tRNA from 1 species
UUGAAAGGGUAGUAGUAUUACGUAGUUUUUUGGUGGCUGAGAUAGUAAGUGGCCUUACUCCCUUUCAAU